AGAUAGAUUGAAAAUUCCUAUUUGUUCUACCUUUUCAUUUUCUUUUCUCUUGUGAUAUCUCUUGCCCCCCCUACAUCCUCUAAAAAAGGUCUCUUUCUUAUGUUGAUUUGUGGGGGCUCUCGAUAGUUCUGAUCGAAAUAUUGACUUCUUGGUCCUAAAAAAUGAUCAUUUGAUUGUGUAUAAUUUUCUUUUGCCCCUACUCGGUCAGUCUCUUCUGUAUGGAGUAAGUCAAACUU